GGCCUGAGCCAGACCGUACAGGGAGGCCCGCUGGCCUCCGGGCUGGACAGAGCCGGGCCUUCCUCUGUGACUCAGUUUCCUCAUCCACAAAGUGGGCAGUGGAGCUGAAAGACACCCCCUCGGAGCACCUGGGAGACGGGGUGACUCGCAGCUGCUCGGGGAGGCUUCCGGGGAGGCCUCCGCCCCGUCCCCCGGAGAAAGUGAAGAAACUCCCUCUGAUCUCAGCUGCCCUCUCUCCCCGGGAGCACGAUUUCAAAGGCUUUCUCCACGGAGCGAGAGCAGACCUCAAUCAUCUUUGUGCACAAAACACCCGCCCCGGCUAUUUGUCUCCGUCCGGAGCGCCUGGCGCGGGGCCGAGGGGCGCGCUGGGGAGCGGUGCUUAGGAAGAAUGCUGUCAUUCCGAGGGGCUCCCCGUCCGCCCCCCGCCCCGCCCCUGCGCUCUGCCCCGGGGUCUUGGCAGCCCGGGGUAACCACAAGACAAGUUUUAUCAUCUGUUAAACCUGUCGUUUGGGGGGAAAAAAUGACUUCAAUAAAAUAUUUCAACAAUUAUA